ACGACUCUCGGCAACGGAUAUCUCGGCUCACGCAUCGAUGAAGAACGUAGCAAAAUGCGAUACUUGGUGUGAAUUGCAGAAUCCCGUGAACCAUCGAGUUUUUGAACGCAAGUUGCGCCCGAAGCCAUUCGGUCGAGGGCACGUCUGCCUGGGCGUCACG
rnacentral:rRNA from 1 species